GGCGAGGACGCGUGGAGGCUCGGGUCAGUCCAAAGCGGAGGUGGCCUCGGAAGGACAGCGCGGAGCACCUCGGAAGCGCCGCCCGGCCCCAGGACGGGUCGGAGGUGCCACUUUCGCCAACGACUACAAGUCCCGGAAGCCUCCGCGGCCUACGCCGGCUACAAGAACUAGGGAUUGAACUCAGGACCUUACGCUUGCCAGGAAGGUGCAGCCUCACUGACUACAUCGCCAGGCCAACUUUAUCCUUUUAUGGCAGUGUGAUACUCCAUUGUAUACAAAACCACAUUUUAGGGGCUGGAGAUUUAGCUCAGUGGUGCCGUGCCUGCCUCGCAAUUGGAAGGUCCUGAGUUCGAUCUCCAGUACCACAAAAUAAAUAAAUAAAACCACA
rnacentral:lncRNA from 1 species